GCUCAGAUGAAACGCUGGCGGCAGGCCUAACACAUGCAAGUCGAGCGGUAGAGAGAAGCUUGCUUCUCUUGAGAGCGGCGGACGGGUGAGUAAUGCCUAGGAAUCUGCCUGGUAGUGGGGGAUAACGUUCGGAAACGGACGCUAAUACCGCAUACGUCCUACGGGAGAAAGCAGGGGACCUUCGGGCCUUGCGCUAUCAGAUGAGCCUAGGUCGGAUUAGCUAGUUGGUGAGGUAAUGGCUCACCAAGGCGACGAUCCGUAACUGGUCUGAGAGGAUGAUCAGUCACACUGGAACUGAGACACGGUCCAGACUCCUACGGGAGGCAGCAGUGGGGAAUAUUGGACAAUGGGCGAAAGCCUGAUCCAGCCAUGCCGCGUGUGUGAAGAAGGUCUUCGGAUUGUAAAGCACUUUAAGUUGGGAGGAAGGGUUGUAGAUUAAUACUCUGCAAUUUUGACGUUACCGACAGAAUAAGCACCGGCUAACUCUGUGCCAGCAGCCGCGGUAAUACAGAGGGUGCAAGCGUUAAUCGGAAUUACUGGGCGUAAAGCGCGCGUAGGUGGUUUGUUAAGUUGGAUGUGAAAUCCCCGGGCUCAACCUGGGAACUGCAUUCAAAACUGACUGACUAGAGUAUGGUAGAGGGUGGUGGAAUUUCCUGUGUAGCGGUGAAAUGCGUAGAUAUAGGAAGGAACACCAGUGGCGAAGGCGACCACCUGGACUAAUACUGACACUGAGGUGCGAAAGCGUGGGGAGCAAACAGGAUUAGAUACCCUGGUAGUCCACGCCGUAAACGAUGUCAACUAGUCGUUGGAAGCCUUGAGCUUUUAGU
rnacentral:rRNA from 1 species